rnacentral:rRNA from 1 species
AUUGAACGCUGGCGGCAGGCCUAACACAUGCAAGUCGAACGAGUGGCGGACGGGUGAGUAAUGUCUGGGAAAUUGCUUGAUGGAGGGGGAUAACUACUGGAAACGGUAGCUAAUACCGCAUACCAUCAGAUGUGCCCAGAUGGGAUUAGCUAGUUGGUGGGGUAACGGCUCACCACGGCGACGAUCCCUAGCUGGUCUGGAAGGAUGACCAGCCACCCUGGAACUGAGACACGGUCCAGACUCCUACGUGAGGCAGCAGUGGGGAAUAUAGCACAAUGGGCGCAAGCCUGAUGCAGCCAUGCCGCGUGUAUGAAGAAGGCCUUCGGAUUGUAAAGUACUUGCAGCAGGGAGGCGUUACCCGCAGAAGAAGCACCGGCUAACUCCGUGCCAGCAGCCGCGGUAAUUC